CUAGCUUAAGUAACAUCAGCCAGUUUUAACGAAAUUUCAUCUAUCAUUUACAUUUUUUUUAUGGUUGUGUUGUUUAGCGUUUGCGUUUACAGUGAAUCUUAUUAAUUCCAGGUUAUGUUUCAUAAAACUUUUGAAUUCAUGAGGGAAACAUGUCUUUUACCAACAUUAAAAUGAUUCAGAUUUACAUAUUGUAAUAUAAUCGGCAUUCUUAUAAUAGUUUAUUUAAUACAAGAAGAUGAAAUUAGUUAAACCUAACUGGGUCACACACGAUGGAUAUUCAAUAUUUUCCGUUGACAUACAUCCUGAUGGGAAAAGAUUUGCUACUGGAGGUCAAGGUGGUGAUUCUGGAAGAGUUGUUAUAUGGAAUAUGGAACCUGUAGUGAAUGAAGCUGCUGAAUUGGAUCAAAAUGUACCAAAAAUAUUAUGUCAACUAGAUAAUCAUCUUGCAUGUGUAAAUUGUGUCAGAUGGAGUAAUAAUGGUUUAUUAGCAUCUGGUGGUGUAGACAAACUUAUUAUGAUAUGGAGACUAUCCGGUGGUUCUGGUGGAAGUACUAUAUUUGGAGGAAAAGCAAGUGUAGAAACUUGGCGAUGUAUAGCUACGUUACGGUCUCAUGAAGCCGAUGUUUUAGAUCUUGCAUGGGCUCCACAUAGUCCAUGGCUGGCUUCAGCUUCUGUAGAUAAUAGUGUAAUUGUAUGGGAUGCAUCCAAAUUUCCUGCUAUUGUAGCUGUUUUAAAAGGUCAUACAGGCUUCGUGAAAGGCAUUACUUGGGAUCCAGUUGGAAAAUACUUAGCAUCACAAUCUGAUGACAAAACAUUGAGAGUAUGGCGUACUACAGACUGGACAGAAGAGGCUUUAAUUUCUGAGCCAUUUGAUGAGUGUGGUGGAACAACCCAUGUUUUGAGAUUAUCCUGGAGUCCAGAUGGACAAUACUUGGUAUCGGCACAUGCGAUGAACGGUGGUGGACCUACAGCACAAAUAAUUGAAAGAGAUGGAUGGACGCAAGAUAAGGAUUUUGUUGGUCAUAGGAAAGCAGUUACUUGUGUCAGAUUUAAUGGAAAUAUUUUACAAAAGAAACAGUCAGGUUCUUCUAAACCGCAACAAUAUUGUUGUGUUGCUAUAGGUUCUCGUGAUCGUUCUUUAUCGGUAUGGCUAACGUCUCUUAAAAGGCCUUUAGUUGUGAUACGUGAAUUAUUUACCCAUUCUGUUUUGGACGCAAGUUGGUCUCCUUGUGGUCUCAGACUUGCAGCUUGUUCUUGGGAUGGUUCUGUUGUAUUCAUUGAAUUUACUCAACAAGAACUUGGACAGCCCUUAGAUCCUGCUGAACAAAGUAGUCUUCAUGAACGUUUAUAUGGGAAACCAUUAGUUCAAGGAGGUUGUAUGGUCAUGGAAGCUCCUGAACUUUUGAAUUUGAAACCACCAGCACCUCCUAGCCAACAGCAAAUUCCAUCUACAACAAAUUCAGUUCCAGUGCCUUUAAAUACUUCAAAUACACCAGCUAAAGGUCCCAUUAACAAACAGAUUGAAACUAGAACAUCUGAUGGUAAAAGAAGAAUUACUCCUAUGUUCAUACCACCACCACCUGAUAUAAUGGAUACAGCAAUAAAUGGUGGAACUACAGUACCAACAUUUACAAGCAAAUCGCAAACAAAAAGUUCGAUUGUAAUAGAAAAACGUAACGAUGUCGUUACACCUAAUGUUACCUCUUCUGUGAAUUCUGCUAUCAUAAAUACACCAGCUUCAUCACUUACUUUAAAACGACGAGAACAAAGCAGUCCAAAAUUACACCAUUUGUCACCAAAUAAAAAAUUAAAAAUUUUGUCUGAAAAAGGUGCAGGCCAAAUCGUUCUUCCUGCAUUGAAACCGUCCAAUUCAUUAUCUCAACAAGCUGGACAUCAUGCAGUUACAAUCAGUAAUAGUCAGGGUUUAGCUCAUUUACAAGUAUUUAGAGGUACAGAUUCAGAACCAACAUGGGAUCUUUAUUUGGGUUAUAAUGCCGUGGCACUUGCUGCCUCUUCAGCUGUUAUAGCUGUUGGUUUAGAAGAUGGUAGUCUACAUACUUUUCAUCCAGUCAAAGGAUCUCGAUUUGCACCUCCGUUAGCACCACCUGCACCAUUAGCAAAAAUUCAUGCUGUUGGUAAUGCGGUUAUGGUUAUAUCAACCUGCGGUGAUGUACGAGUAUGGGAAAUAGGAAAUACAUGCAGAAUGAUAGUAUCAACCUCAGCUGCUCAUUUAGCAGCACCAGGAACAUCAAUAUUGUCAUGUACACUUUAUAAUGGAAUGCCACAUUUAGCAUUUACUAAUGCAAGGGCAUAUAUUUAUCACAAAGAAAUGGGAACAUGGUUGUUAAUUGGAGAUAGUCAUGAUCCUGUAUGGCGGUGGUCUUCAUUUAAUGCAUUAAGUUCAUCUGGUAGUAGAACUCCUCGAGGACCUUUGUUUUCCCUACAGGAAGGUUUACUAAGAACUGCUGGAAAUGUUUUGCCUAAUCCUCGAUUGGCACAUACUGCUCCUAGUAUAGUGUCUUAUAUGGAACAACAGUUAUCAGCAUCUAAAGCACUUGGCAGUGCACAAGAAUAUGUUCAUUGGAUAAUGGCAUUAGUAUCAUUUUUAUUAACUCAAGAUGGGUUGGAGAAGCGUUUAAGAUUAAUCUUAGAUGAUCUUUUGGGUCCAAGUCAUACAUCAGCAUCUAAAAGUUCAUCAUGGGAUCCUAUGAUUCUAGGUAUAAAAAAGCACAAACUUUUGGGAGAUAUAUUGAAUAUUGUUGGUGGGCAUCUUCGUUGGCAAAGGCUAUUUCUUGAGUAUACAGAACAAUUAAUGGCAUUAAAAAAUCAGAGUACAUAAAAGCGGCGGUCCAUUUGGAUGAUAGACCAUUAGAGUGAAACUUCGAGCAAGAUUGUUAGAGAGCAUGCAAUUGUAAUCUUCUUCUGUUGACGGUAUCAAUGAAGUUACACCAAGUAGCAACAGCAUUAAUGCUUGUAUUGGAAGAGAAACACGCAAAACUCUUCCUAGAAAACUAUAUCCUUGUCUUGGUACUAUUUGAUGUCUUUCAUCACCACUGUAACAAUUACAGUAAAAACAAAGAUUAUUUUUCAUCUAAAACACAAGUUGAUGAACAGAAGUAUUUUAUAUGGAAAAAUGGCAAUCCAAAAUUAAAUAAACUUGGAUUGAACAGGGAAAAGGAAGAGAACAUACUCUGUGGCAGCUGUUGUGUGUGGCUGAGAGGACCCAGAGGCAGCUUCAUCGAGUAGCUACAAUUGAACAAAAGAAAAAACACAAACAAUAAGAUACUGUGCAAGUGAUUACUACUAUUAUUACAUAUGGCGCACGUGAUAAUGGUAUAAGCCAAUGAGAAAGAACAGGUGCACUUUUUUGUGCUGCAAUGUUUGGUUCCCUUUCAUCGGAUUUCAUUGCUCCCGUGCGCUUUAAUAUGUUUUACGUGAUUCUUUUUUAUAUCGUGCAAUAAUCUACAUACGUUAAAUGACUAAACAUUUAAGAAACAAAAGCAAAGAUCACGUUUCAGCAAGUGACCUAAAAAUAUGCAAUUAAGAAUUGUACUUACAUCGCGAGAAAGAGCGGCUAAUGAGGAGGAUGUAGCAACGAGUCCAAUAUCACGUGGAUCCAAUCCUAAAGCUGCUCCUAAUUUCAAUGAGUAGAUGCCUGUCAGUCGACGUAACGAUUGUAGUUUUAAUCGAAGUUCUUGUAGUCGAGCUCUCACUCCUCCCUGUUCAUUUAGUAGUUGAUUGGCAGAUUCUUGGAGAGAUAAAACACGCGGUUCACAGCGCUCAAGGUCACUUCGUAAUUCCCUUAAAAAAUAAAAAAAAAAAAAAAAAACUAAUAAAAGAAGGGUCAAAACAAAAUUGUAAUAUUUUUUAUGUGGCUACAAUUAUGAGAUCUUUUAUAUGUACAUAAAACAUAUAUAAUAUGUAUUAUAUAAUAUAUAGUAUAUAUAAUAUAAAUUAUAUAUAAUAUAUAUUAUAUAUAAUAUAUAAUAUAUAAUAUAUAUAUCUGCAGAAAAAGAUUGCCUAUUGUAUAGUAUCAUCUCAAUGUAUGAUAAUACCUUAUAUUUAUUUGUAUUUUAUGUAAAAACAGAUCAAUUACAAAAUGGAUUUUCUAAGGAACAUAUUCAUUGUUCCAUAGUUUAUAUAUAUUAAUUUGCAUUACGUCAAAUAUGCAUUUGUUUGCAAAAUAUGUAUUAUUAGAAUUCAAGUUUAAUCAUCAAUGUAUCUAUAUUUGUGUAUUGAUAUACGUUUCAUUUGUAUAUCCAAGUGAU